rnacentral:tRNA from 1 species
GCCAUGGCUCAGUGUUAGAGCAUCUGCUUGGCAUGGAGAAAGACCCAGGUUCAAUCGCUGGCAACUUUAGGUA